CAAGAACUAAACUUUUGUGAGUGGGUGGUGAGGAAGUGUGUAGAAAUCCCUUUAAAACCCUCUUGAAAGUGCAAAUUUGGAGCAAAAGUGCAAGGAGACCGCCAGGCGAAAUUCAAAGGGGCAAAGCAAAGUGAGGAAAACCUAAAACCACCCAGCUUUUAAGAAGCUCGGGUUUGGGUCUCGCCGCCACCGCCCGACGACAAAGUGGUACCGCCCGACGGUGAGUGGUAAUUUCCUUACCACUUUUCUUGCUUGCCUUUUGUGAUUUCUCUCGAUAACUCCUGAUCUUUGCCCUAAAUUUUUCACUUUCAAGAUUUUCCUCUCUCAAAUGCACAUGCACACAUAAAAUGUAUUAAGACAAAAUUUGAAAAACAAAUAACAAACAUAGAAAUUCAAAAUUAUAUACAACAAUUGGGAUAGUCCCCAUAAACACCCAUCAGUAGGUGUUAAACUUCUUCGUGCUUGGUAUUUUCUUCUUCUUCUUCUUCUUUAUGCUAAAUCUCUUCAAAAAGUUGAUCAAACCAAGCACAUGUUUCCAUGCAUCAACCAUAGGAGCCUUAAUCUCCAAUUUCUUGAAGACUUCCAUGAAGUACUUGAACCUAUUUUCCUUCCUAUGAUUUUUUUUUUAUGAGGAAGGGGUUUUUCACAUGACCUAUUUUUCUUUCCUCUCUUCCUCUUUUUCUUAAUUUUCUCCUCCCUUAGCUUUCUCUUUUUCUUUUUCUUUUCUUUCUUUAUUUUCACAUUUUUUUUUUCUCUUUCUCUUUUCUUUCAACCACUGCUUUUCCUUUCUCAUCAUCCUUCUCACUCUCAUUCAACUUUUUUGUUUCAAUCUCCUCUAUCUUUUCUGCAGCAACAACUUUUUCUAUUUUUAUUUCCUCUUUCUUUUCUUCCUUUAUUUUCUCCUCAUAUAUCUCUAGCUCUUCUUCUUCUUUUAUCUUUUCCUCCUCGACAACCUUAUCAUUUUUAGAGAUAGUGGCUGACAUUCUUCUUUAGGGAUAACAUCAGUAUUAUCCUUAAUAAUGCCAAGAGACUUCAAUACCUUUGUUAUCUCAUCUUCCUCUAUCUUCUUUUCAUCAAUAACCUUGUCAUCCUCAAAGAUAGUGGCUUGGCAUUCUUCUUUAGGGUUAACUUUAGUAUUAACCCUAAUAAUACUCAAAGACUUCAGCGCACAAGAGUGUUGUUCCUGCAAUAAACGCUCUUUAGCUUCCCCCAACGUUUCUUUUCGCACCGAGAAUAAUUCCUGCUGUAAACGUUGUUUAGCUUCCCCCAACGUUUCUUUUGGCCUAGAGGAAUAUUGCCCAAAUUGGCUAUGAUAUAUGUUUGAAUGAGGUUCCCACCAGUGGUUGAAACUAUUU
rnacentral:lncRNA from 1 species